UCUGUUCGACCCCAUUCUGUCUCUCUCUCGUGACACCGAAACAGAGCAGCGCCCCCGGCCGCCCGGCCCGGCCGCCGGCGGCGGCGACCGCGAAAUCCACCGCGCCGCGCGCACGCCUCCUUUUCCCUUUCCCCCUCCCCUCUGUCCUAUCUUCCAACGACAGAGAGAAAAAAUGACGCGGCAGAGCGGUCCUCUGCUCCCCUUCUCGCCUGUGGUUCUCUCUGGCCGCCGGCCAGCCGCCGACGGCGAGGCUCACCUGCGCGGCGAGGGUCCUCCUUUCCUUUCCCCUUAUCCAUUUCACCCAUCCACCACCGCCUUCUGUUAGAGAGAUAGCCGCAAGCAGCGGCGCGCGAUAUGGGGGCACCCUCCCUGUCCCCUUUGCCGGCGUGCGCGAGCACCUCCAGAGUGAACGCGCCGCCGUCAAAUGGCACGGUGGUGGUGCCCUUUGCCCCUUGCGGGGUCGUUCUUCUUCCCGGAUCCUCGGCAUGCUGAUGCGAUUCGGGAUCGAGAGGAACUGGCGCGGCCUUGCGGCGGCGCACUUUGCCGGCGAGCACUGGGCCCUUAUCCGGUCUUCAUGUGUGCUACUUCUGCGGUGAGCCGGCAUCUAGUGAGCUUGACGAGUACUUCCUGAAGGUUGAUGUCCGCUCUCGUUGCGUCACUGAUCAAGGCUCCAUCUGCAUGGGAAGCUGAUUUUUUUUGUUAGAUUGGCAAUGAGACCCUUGGAUAGGAGAAAAGAAACCGGAAGAGCAUGAAACAUAGAUGUUGAACCUUGGAGGUGAUCAAAUUAUAUGAUUUCUGGGCUGUAAGAGCUUAAACUAACUAUUGCACCCGUCAUGGCUCUAUAUUGUCAGUUUGUAUUCUUCCAUGAUGAAGACAGGGUGCACAUAGAGCUUCUUUAUGUUCUCAAUGAGGUCACGAGUUCCUUUUGAGGAGGAAGAGGGCAACCUUGAACUCAAGCUGCCCCUUCACAGAGAAGUGCUUGAACGCAAGAUGCUCCUCCCAGUCAUUUGAUGGAUAUAGAAAUAACUUUUUAUGAGAGUGACCUAAAGGUCAGACGUUUUGAAUUAAAUAUACCUCUUUUGCAGGUCUUUUUUCUUUGGGUUUGGGAGUAGUAUAUGCUGUAAAAUGGGAGUCUACUUUUUCAGAAAUUUGUUUGUUCUUUUGUUUC